AGAGUUUGAUCCUGGCUCAGGACGAACGCUGGCGGCGCGCCUAACACAUGCAAGUCGAACGAGCGAGAGAGAGCUUGCUUUCUCGAGCGAGUGGCGAACGGGUGAGUAACGCGUGAGGAACCUGCCUCAAAGAGGGGGACAACAGUUGGAAACGACUGCUAAUACCGCAUAAGCCCACGGCUCGGCAUCGAGCAGAGGGAAAAGGAGCAAUCCGCUUUGAGAUGGCCUCGCGUCCGAUUAGCUAGUUGGUGAGGUAACGGCCCACCAAGGCGACGAUCGGUAGCCGGACUGAGAGGUUGAACGGCCACAUUGGGACUGAGACACGGCCCAGACUCCUACGGGAGGCAGCAGUGGGGAAUAUUGCACAAUGGGGGAAACCCUGAUGCAGCGACGCCGCGUGGAGGAAGAAGGUCUUCGGAUUGUAAACUCCUGUUGUUGAGGAAGAUAAUGACGGUACUCAACAAGGAAGUGACGGCUAACUACGUGCCAGCAGCCGCGGUAAAACGUAGGUCACAAGCGUUGUCCGGAAUUACUGGGUGUAAAGGGAGCGCAGGCGGGAAGACAAGUUGGAAGUGAAAUCCAUGGGCUCAACCCAUGAACUGCUUUCAAAACUGUUUUUCUUGAGUAGUGCAGAGGUAGGCGGAAUUCCCGGUGUAGCGGUGGAAUGCGUAGAUAUCGGGAGGAACACCAGUGGCGAAGGCGGCCUACUGGGCACCAACUGACGCUGAGGCUCGAAAGUGUGGGUAGCAAACAGGAUUAGAUACCCUGGUAGUCCACACCGUAAACGAUGAUUACUAGGUGUUGGAGGAUUGACCCCUUCAGUGCCGCAGUUAACACAAUAAGUAAUCCACCUGGGGAGUACGACCGCAAGGUUGAAACUCAAAGGAAUUGACGGGGGCCCGCACAAGCAGUGGAGUAUGUGGUUUAAUUCGACGCAACGCGAAGAACCUUACCAAGUCUUGACAUCCCUUGACGAUGCUGGAAACAGUAUUUCUCUUCGGAGCAAGGAGACAGGUGGUGCAUGGUUGUCGUCAGCUCGUGUCGUGAGAUGUUGGGUUAAGUCCCGCAACGAGCGCAACCCUUA
rnacentral:rRNA from 1 species